UAGAAAGCGUUGAAGGGAAUCCAGUAGUGUUCAGAUCCGUACUUUCAGAGAGCCGUCGGUUGGUGCGAGGCGGUAGGCGAAUGAAUGCGAAUUACGUCCCGGAGCUUCCCGUUUCCGAACCCGCGAGAGCGGAAGGAGCGGGACGGAAUCGUCCACGUUAUCGGGCGUCAGAGUGGGAAACGCGCCUUCGCAAGUGUUGAAGCGCCUUUCCAAUAAGGGUGGUACCGCGAUUAAGACUCGUCCCUGCA
rnacentral:ncRNA from 1 species